CCCACUCAACAUUUCUAUAAUUAUUAUGUUUGUUCCAAUACUAAGGAAGUAGUUUCCAAAACCAUCAAACUUUCUUGCUUUCCUUUUCUCUCUUCAACUCGAGAUACACUAAAUGGACAUAUCUCAAUCAGGUUCUUUUCUUCUUCGUAUUUCCAUCUUCGGUGUUUCUCACUCAAGUGACUCUCCGAUUUACUUUUUUUUUUUAAUAAUUGAUGCAGAGUCUUCUUCGAUUAUUACUAAUGUAAACCUCAUCUACUUUCCUCACAACACUACUUGGAGAUAUGCGUUGGCCUCUGUUGCAAAUGGAGAGGCAACUUCUCCAUGAGCCAUCGUUUUAAUGAUGAGGAUCUCCCCAGAAGUAUUUCUAACCACCACCCCUGAGAUCGAUUUAGCUUGAGACUCAUCAAAAGCUGUAUUGAAGUUUAGUUUGAUAUCUAACCCUUCCGGGGAACACUAAUCUGUAGACUCGUUUCUCUUUGUAAGAUUCCUAAACACACAUUCUUUUAGCUCAUUUGUAUAUCAUUUUAUCCAUGCAACAAUUAUUGGGCUCGUACUUCUUUUCCCCUCAUGUAACCACCCCUUGUUGCUGUCUGUCCAAAUCGCCUAUAAGGAACAACAAAACACACUAUAUUGCAGGCUGUACUGUUCUUGAACACCCAUGCAAGCCACUCCCAGUUAGUUAGAUUCAAUUAUGUUAACACCCAUUCCAGAUUCAAGUUAAUCCAUACUUCUUGUGUUACAGAACAUCAUCUGAAAAUAUGGUCUAUAUUUUCAGUCGUUUCUCCACAUCUAGGGCACACUACCCCUGGCAUUAGUCUUUUUAUUCAAAGAUCAGCAAAAUGGGGAAUAAAAUUUCAUGAAAAUUUCCAGAUUAGGAUAUUUAUUUUCCCUAGAAUGUGAAUAUUCCAAAGUUUUUUGUAAAACUUUUUUGCCUCAAUCUGUAAAUAACUAGGAUUAGGGAUAUUUUCAUGUGGUAGUUUAUAAGCAUUGCGCAUAGAGAAUUCUCUAGAAGGCUUCCA
rnacentral:lncRNA from 1 species